rnacentral:rRNA from 1 species
AGAGUUUGAUCCUGGCUCAGAUUGAACGCUGGCGGCAGGCCUAACACAUGCAAGUCGAACGGUAACAUUUCUAGCUUGCUAGAAGAUGACGAGUGGCGGACGGGUGAGUAAUGCUUGGGAACUUGCCUUUGCGAGGGGGAUAACAGUUGGAAACGACUGCUAAUACCGCAUAAUGUCUUCGGACCAAACGGGGCUCCGGCUCCGGCGCAAAGAGAGGCCCAAGUGAGAUUAGCUAGUUGGUAAGGUAACGGCUUACCAAGGCGACGAUCUCUAGCUGUUCUGAGAGGAAGAUCAGCCACACUGGGACUGAGACACGGCCCAGACUCCUACGGGAGGCAGCAGUGGGGAAUAUUGCACAAUGGGGGAAACCCUGAUGCAGCCAUGCCGCGUGUGUGAAGAAGGCCUUCGGGUUGUAAAGCACUUUCAGUUGUGAGGAAAAGUUAGUAGUUAAUACCUGCUAGCCGUGACGUUAACAACAGAAGAAGCACCGGCUAACUCCGUGCCAGCAGCCGCGGUAAUACGGAGGGUGCGAGCGUUAAUCGGAAUUACUGGGCGUAAAGCGCACGCAGGCGGUUUGUUAAGCUAGAUGUGAAAGCCCCGGGCUCAACCUGGGAUGGUCAUUUAGAACUGGCAGACUAGAGUCUUGGAGAGGGGAGUGGAAUUCCAGGUGUAGCGGUGAAAUGCGUAGAUAUCUGGAGGAACAUCAGUGGCGAAGGCGACUCCCUGGCCAAAGACUGACGCUCAUGUGCGAAAGUGUGGGUAGCGAACAGGAUUAGAUACCCUGGUAGUCCACACCGUAAACGCUGUCUACUAGCUGUGUGUGCCUUUAAGGCGUGCGUAGCGAAGCUAACGCGCUAAGUAGACCGCCUGGGGAGUACGGCCGCAAGGUUAAAACUCAAAUGAAUUGACGGGGGCCCGCACAAGCGGUGGAGCAUGUGGUUUAAUUCGACGCAACGCGAAGAACCUUACCUACACUUGACAUGCUGAGAA